ensembl:snoRNA
GGGAUUUGAUUAAAAGUUUCCCGUUUACAACACACCCAACAGGAAUCUGGGUUCAUUGUGACAAGGGGCACAAAACUUGGGGCCAUCCUAUGAACAGAUACCUUACAUGU